CUACGGGUCGCACCAGUGGGGAAUAUUGCACAAUGGGCGCAAGCCUGAUGCAGCCAUGCCGCGUGUAUGAAGAAGGCCUUAGGGUUGUAAAGUACUUUCAGCGGGGAGGAAGGGAGUAAAGUUAAUACCUUUGCUCAUUGACGUUACCCGCAGAAGAAGCACCGGCUAACUCCGUGCCAGCAGCCGCGGUAAUACGGAGGGUGCAAGCGUUAAUCGGAAUUACUGGGUGUAAAGCGCACGCAGGCGGUUUGUUAAGUCAGAUGUGAAAUCCCCGGGCUCAACCUGGGAACUGCAUCUGAUACUGGCAAGCUUGAGUCUCGUAGAGGGGGGUAGAAUUCCAGGUGUAGCGGUGAAAUGCGUAGAGAUCUGGAGGAAUACCGGUGGCGAAGGCGGCCCCCUGGACGAAGACUGACGCUCAGGUGCGAACGCGUGGGGAGCAAACAGGAUUAGAUACCCGGGUAGUC
rnacentral:rRNA from 1 species